GACGGAGGGGGCUAGCGUUGUUCGGAAUUACUGGGCGUAAAGGGCGCGUAGGCGGCCCAUCAAGUUAGGCGUGAAAUCCCUGGGCUUAACCCAGGAACUGCGUUUAAUACUGAUUGGCUAGAGAUUGGUAGAGGAAAGUGGAAUUCCUAGUGUAGAGGUGAAAUUCGUAGAUAUUAGGAAGAACACCAGAGGCGAAGGCGACUUUCUGGGCCAAUACUGACGCUGAGGCGCGAAAGCGUGGGGAGCAAACAGG
rnacentral:rRNA from 1 species